GGCACGCCCGAAGUCGUUACUCCAACCCGCAAGGGAGGAGGACGCCGAAGGUGGGGCUGAUGACUGGGGUGAAGUCGUAACAAGGUAGCCGUACCGGAAGGUGCGGCUGGAUCACCUCCUAACAGGGAGACAAUAACUGAUCGUGAUGUCUGGCUAAAUUAUUGCUAGGCCAUGAUCCUGUCAUCUCGAUGGUUAAUCGGUACCUCAACCGACAAAAGCGAAGCCAAAAGCAACUCUAGCAAUGGAGGAGCCGAUGAGCUGUCGUGGAUGUCUUUUCAGUUCCUAAACUUUGUCUAGGUCACCCCGCAAGGGUAUCCCUGGGCCAUUAGCUCAGGUGGUUAGA
rnacentral:misc_RNA from 1 species